AUUGAACGCUGGCGGCAUGCCUUACACAUGCAAGUCGAACGGCAGCACGGGAGCAAUCCUGGUGGCGAGUGGCGAACGGGUGAGUAAUAUAUCGGAACGUGCCCGGUCGUGGGGAUAACGUAGCGAAAGCUACGCUAAUACCGCAUACGAUCUACGGAUGAAAGCGGGGGGAUCGCAAGACCUCGCGCGAUUGGAGCGGCCGAUAUCAGAUUAGGUAGUUGGUGAGGUAAAGGGCUCACCAAGCCGACGAUCUGUAGCUGGUCUGAGAGGACGACCAGCCACACUGGGACUGAGACACGGCCCAGACUCCUACGGAGGCAGCAGUGGGAAUUUUGGACAAUGGGCGCAAGCCUGAUCCAGCAAUGCCGCGUGCAGG
rnacentral:rRNA from 1 species